UUUUUAUUGGAUGAUAACUGUCAUGUGUGAUAUUCUGAUUGAAUGUCGAAUCUAUGAAAAAUGAAAUGCAUUGUUGUUGUCAUUGACCAAUCAGAACAUGACACGUGGCAGUCAUUAUUC
rfam:Glycine soja cultivar W05 scaffold5095_12, whole genome shotgun sequence.